rnacentral:rRNA from 1 species
GACGAACGCUGGCGGCGUGCUUAACACAUGCAAGUCGAGCGGUAAGGCCCUUUCGGGGGUACACGAGCGGCGAACGGGUGAGUAACACGUGGGUGACCUGCCCUCAGCUCUGGGAUAAGCCUGGGAAACUGGGUCUAAUACUGGAUAUGACUCCACGGUGCAUGUCGUGGGGUGGAAAGCCUUGUGCGGCUGAGGAUGGGGCCCGCGGCCUAUCAGCUUGUUGGGGGGUGAUGGCCUACCAAGGCGACGACGGGUAGCCGGCCUGAGAGGGCGACCGGCCACACUGGGACUGAGACACGGCCCAGACUCCUACGGGAGGCAGCAGUGGGGAAUCUUGCGCAAUGGGCGAAAGCCUGACGCAGCGACGCCGCGUGAGGGAUGACGGCCU